rnacentral:rRNA from 1 species
AUUGAACGCUGGCGGCAUGCCUUACGCAUACAAGUCGAACGGUAACAGGUCUUCGGAUGCUGACGAGUGGCGAACGGGUGAGUAAUACAUCGGAACGUGCCUAGUAGUGGGGGAUAACUACUCGAAAGAGUGGCUAAUACCGCAUGAGAUCAACGGAUGAAAGCAGGGGAUCGCAAGACCUUGUGCUACUAGAGCGGCCGAUGGCAGAUUAGGUAGUUGGUGGGAUAAAAGCUUACCAAGCCGACGAUCUGUAGCUGGUCUGAGAGGACGAUCAGCCAGACUGGGACUGAGACACGGCCCAGACUCCUACGGGAGGCAGCAGUGGGGAAUUUUGGACAAUGGGCGAAAGCCUGAUCCAGCAAUGCCGCGUGCAGGAUGAAGGCCUUCGGGUUGUAAACUGCUUUUGUACGGAACGAAAAGCCCUGGGUUAAUACCCUGGGGUCAUGACGGUACCGUAAGAAUAAGCACCGGCUAACUACGUGCCAGCAGCCGCCGUAA